AUUUAUUUAACUGCUCUAUUUCUCUCUCUCUCUCUCUCUCUCUCUCUCUCUGUGUGUGUGUGUGUGUGAGAGAGAGAGAGAGAGAGAGAGAGAGAGAGAGAGAAUUAUGCCACAG